UGGCAUGAGAGCCUUUGUACCCAGUGAGUAAUGCAGAAAUGCCACUGAGGAACGAGUAAGUCUCAACAAUGGUAAGAAUUAUAAUCAAGCUUCGAAAGAAUAGUUCCAGUCUCCAACAAGAAGAGGACUUGAGCUGGAAACAGGACCGUAUCUUUUCUAAAGCAGUUCCUGUCUCUAAAAGGAGAUGAAUUUUGAAGACCAGAUGGACAGAUCACUUCAUGCAGGGUUUUGUCACGGGUUGCUCUUAGAGUCCUGUUUGCCUGUGUCCUACUCUCAAGUGGUCACUGAACUUCUCUAAAAAGCCGUAUGCCUAAGAAACCUCAUCUGCUACUCCACCAUGCUAACUGAUUCCAGAUGUCAAGAGGAAGGGGGCUUGGGAGAUAGGAUAACCAAGGCAGAAAAAACUCUCAGCAGAAUCUUAAUCUCACCUUGU